UUAACUCGAUUUUGUAUGCAAUUGGAACGUUUGCCUGCGUUUGCCGCUAGGGGCGCUGAUCCAACUGCAUAUAAAUUAAGUUA
rnacentral:pre_miRNA from 1 species